AGAUAUGCGAUGAUGCGGGAGGUUGCGGCAGGUAUUGCCGGUUUUUCCGCGGAGUAUGUCCGAUUUUAAACCGGGCGA
rfam:Eubacteriaceae bacterium CHKCI005 isolate CHKC5 genome assembly, contig: {contig12}